GAGGGGCGGGGCCUGCUGAGAGACCCCCUGCGUCAUACAGUCAAUGUGGGGAGCUGGGCGGCCCCUUCUCUGUUACCCCUGGUGGCCUCGGCCAGGACACUGCACCUGACUCGCGCCCGGUCCCGCAGCGUCGUUGCCCUGCAAAGCGGUUGGGUCCUCGCGGCUGCACGGAGCCUGGGCCCCCCUUGGCAAGUGACCGUGUGCAAAGAACCGCGUCUGACUCACCAGAUCUGCUCCCUGUGCGAGUCGGUCCCAGCCUGGACUGAUGUGGGUGAGCCAGUCACCGCUGCUCUGAGCCACGUGGAGUUGGCACAACUGAAAGGGAAGAGCUGGACACUGGUCUUCCCCAUCUGCCAUCAGUUCCACCUGUACACGUCACUUUACUGAAGUCUUGCCUUUAUUUACACGUGUGCUACCGCACUGCAGGUAUUAGUGCCCCACCGUAAACGGCAAAAAACGUGAUACAGCUACCUCAGAAGGGUCAUUGACUGAGUUCACCCACCUUACUUUAAGAACAUUAAGAACGGCCACACUGGGUCAGACCAAAGGUCCGUCCAGCCCAGUAUCCUGUCGACUGACAGUGACCAAUGCCAGGUGUCCCAGAGGGAGUGAACCUAAGGGUACGUCCAGACUACCUGCCGUAUCAGCGGAUAGUGAUUGAUUUAUUGGGGAUCGAUAUAUCUCUUUGAGAAUUCCACAAUGAUUUAUUUACUUAGGGUCACUUACAACAGAGAUAAGUAUAAAUAAUCAGAAUCAUUGUAAGAGAAGGUGUGUGUGACCCCUAAGAAUUCCUCAGUGCCGACUGGCAAAGGAGUCACUCUUCUGUAACAGUAACUCUUGACAGGCCUGCCAAACUCACUAUACCUAGCAUUCCACUUUCCAUAAAAGAUGUCAUGUAUAAUCUUAUAUUAAAGCCAGAAAACGCAGUGAUCAUAAAUAUGCUAGUGAAAUGUCUGUACAGAUACAAUGUAAAAAGUUAUAUAUGUACAAUAUAAAGGAAAUAUGUUCCUACAGUCUGAAUCAAGGCAAAGUUGAUGAAGACGUACCUAACAGACAAAAGUUUGUAUAUCACCUGUCUGCCUCAGUUCACAAUGUAAAUUAAGCAUUGUCAGCCAAUACAAUGGAAGCCCUGUGUGCAUACAAAGUCAGCAUGAGGAUGUGACCUCAACACACUAUGGAAUAAACUUUGAGGUGCAAGGGAGGCAUCCUGACUUAAAUAUCCAAUAAUUAAUUUGGGGGAAUAAAAGAGAAGGCAAAAGGAUGCAUCUUUAUCGUGCUCCUGAGGAAGUAAUCAGUCAGUGGGAUUUCAUUCAUGAAAACAGGAUCCUAACCUGCCCUGGUUGGAAACACUACAAAAGACAUUUUGGGUAAUUGAAGCAUAUUUAUGAAGUCAUUGGGAGGUGAACUAUCUCCAGUUCAACAGG